GUUUUAUCUCCCAGUGAGGUCAAGUGAAUGUGUCAGAACUCCUACACUAAAUGCAUAUCUGUCUGCUUUUACAAAAUUAAAGGUAAUGCCUCAAUAGGAAUCUGGAUGUGCUACAGAGAAAGGAAAUUUCCUACUUUAAAGCCUCCCCAAAUUCUGCAUUGUAAUGAAAAUCUGGACUUCUUGGCAUCACAGGUUGAAACUGUGAGCUCCAGGAAGGUCUCAGUUAUUGCAAGCAGGACUCAAGUCCUGAGCUGCAUGUCAGGCCAACUGACCAGACAGAACACCAACAUCACAGUGCAGAUUAGGAAAAAGCCAAAUGUUUCAGAAGACUUUCAGGUGACUUGUGGGGCAUAAUAUUUGGGAUAUCAAUUCUGCCCCCCCCUCCACCAGCAGAAAAGACAUUGUUCUUUUUUUUAUCUGUACAUAACACUACAAACAAAUGCAUUAAUUUUGUCAUUUAGCAGAGUUAUUUAAGAGUCCUCGAGCACAUACUUGUGGA
rnacentral:lncRNA from 12 species